AGGGUUACCAUUCUCUGUCAAUCUGUAUAGGUUCUAGAUUGCCCCCCUGUGGCAAUGAGUUGAUGGAGAGUUGACUUAGAGGGAUGGACAUGGUGUGCUGGAUUUCUACAGAUGUCAUAAUAAGCCAAGUUUCUUCAGAGGCUUAUCAGUGAAGCUUCAGAGUUGAAGGUUGCUCUGUGGAAGAAAGAUCAACUGUAGGCCUUUGACACGCGUUGGACUUAGUCCGGCCCUCCAACGGUCUGAGGGACAGUGAACUGGCCCCCCGUUUAAAAAGUUUGAGGACGCCUGGGUUAGGUGGUCUGUCUGUCCGAGGCUGCACGGUGGGUCAGAAGCAAAACUGGAGCUCUAGGGCUAAAGCCUGCACUUGUAACCAGGAUGCUCUGUGAGUUUUCUUCUUAACAUUUAUUUGCUGAAAGACUAUAAGUUGUCCUAGUAUUUAGUGGGGACGUUAUAUGAAACCCAUACAUGAGAUAGGUACUGAACUAGGUGACUUCCAGAUCCUUCCCUUACUCUGAGUCGUUGUCCAGGCUGCAGAAGCCUCCCGUACAUAUUUCUGAAAGAGCCACUUCUCUGUACAGGAUGUCCCACCAGCCUGGUGCCUCCCCAGCCCAUGACGCUGCUACUCAUUUGGGAACUCAGAGAGCAGCUGUUGCUGUGUUUUCUGCAUUCUUGUUCACUCUAGGAACCCUGAUGAGCACUCACUACUUCACUUUCAUCUUGCUCUUAAAGCAAAUUUAGAAUGUAAUGGCUGUCAUACAGUUCAAACUGCUAGGAUAACCUAGGUCUACAGUUCAAAUUAAACAUUACCGCCUACAUCUCUGGGUUUGAAACUAGUGUACCCAGAAGAAACUGCAAAGUGACAGUUAUGUUGCAAUAUUUUAAGUGCAAACAGGAGUGGUCCUGUGUGCUGGCAAUGGCAAGGCCAUGUUGUCUAAAGUCUCUAUUUGAUUACUCA